UUGUUGUUACACCCUGUGCCUAAAUAAUAGGCAUGAAGGAGUGCAUCUUAUUUUUCUUUUCCUGUCCAGAAGUUGUAGUGGUGUAGGUAAGAUAUGUGAGUGUGGUGUAUGUGUUCAUAUGUGUGUAUGCAUGAUUGUAUGUAUGUGAGUGCGUGGUGAAACUAGCCUAAGUGAGUGUGUAGAUGCACUAGUGUCAUGCUUAUAUGGUGUAGUGUGAUAGGUUAUGAGUGCAUAUAUAUCUUGUGGUGCAUGUGGUGUGAGAAACACCUCCCACAUGAACAUAGUUCAUGUACAUCUAAGUUUGUGAGCACGUGUUUGUGGUGGAUGAGCUCCCUACUUGAGUGAUCUAAAUAGAUGCAAUAUUUAGUGUUGUCCAAGAACAUGUUUUGAUGUGUGUAGUGGAGUGGAUGUGUGUGUGUGAGAGGCACUCCACCUUUGCAAACAAGCCUUGCACCUCCACAUGAUCAUAUGUGAGAGAGCAUGGUAUGUUGUUUGUGUGGAUAGCUUGGUAGUAGUGUUAUGAAGUUGAU
rnacentral:lncRNA from 1 species